AAACCAUGCAGCGAGCGAGCAGCGAUCUCUCUCUUUACCCUGCUAGUGUCCUUGCCCGCUCAACCCAGCCUGACAGCCUCAGCGCCUCACAUGGCCCUCUGGCUCAUACAUAUGGAGGAGGAUAGGGAGAGGAGAGGAAUAACAACCACAGAAAGUGUGUGUGUGUGUGUGUGUGGGUACCAUAUAUUUUUCUUCCUGAAUAUGUGACAGGCAGCCCACAUACGUACACACAACAAUGUGCACACACGUCUGGCUCUAACACCAAUAUAUCCUCCUUACUUCCUCUAGCCCUCAAUCCCUCAGUUCUUCUUCCUGAUAAUAGGCUCGACUGUCUGACCAAGGGACCCCACAUCAGUUGGAACCGAAAGAACAACCCAGACCCUUGGAGCACAUACGGUCCACACUAUCAGUACAAGUUGGUGGCCGUCAAUAUGGACUACAAGGCUCUGAAGAAGGAGGGCCCUGACUUCUAAAGGUCCUUCAGGCAACUCCAGGAGCACCAAGUUUGGCAGGACCUCCUGUCAUCCUAGUGGCAGGGUCGGGGCAGCCUGAGCCUCGGUCGGGUCCUCUGUCUGUCCCCUCUGCAGUCUCUUCAGAAUGCACACCAUUUCAUAUUAACUGUCUUUCCCGUGCACUAACCUACAGUUAUAGAAGCAAUUGUCUGCAUGUGCACAGCAAAUACUGUUAUUAUAACCUACCUGUCUCUUCAGACACCACCCUACAGUAUACAUCUCUUCAUGCAUAAAAACCCUAAAGAGAUGUCAUGUAACAGGCUCUUUCACUUUCACAACCCUACAGUUAUUGUAACCUGUCUCUUCACGACCCACAACAGCACUGUUAUAGAUCUGUCUCUUUAUUUUCACCCUAAGGUGAUGUAUCCUACUUCAUGCACAACAGCAACCCUAAAGUGAUGUAUCCUUCUUCAUGCACAGCAACCCUAAAGUGAUGUAUCCUUCUUCAUGCACAGCAACCCUAAAGUGAUGUAUCCUUCUUCAUGCACAGCAACCCUAAAGUGAUGUAUCCUUCUUCAGGCACAACCCUGAUGUUACAUAACUGUCUCUUAACGCUACCUUGAAAACAACACAAUUAAACAUCAGUCAAAGAAGUCUGGUUACGUUGAUUUACAUGGUCUGUGUAUAUACAGUACAAUCAAGGGGGGUAUACAUGCCUACAUGUGUUGAGUAGAGUUUGAAGGGUGUAGUGGAAGAGAAUAGGAGUUGAGUACAUUUAGAAUUCAUCAGAAAGUAUUAAGUGAAAAGCAGUGUAUUUUAAUAACAUUGGAAUCACCAGUGUACAAACAUUUGACUUCACAAAUAAAUCAGCCGAACAGAAAACAUUUUGUGCUGUGAAAUACAGCUGCUGAGCACUAAAAUUGUAACAACAAAAUACUAGUUCAAUCAACGUUGUUUUAAGGAAUUUCAACGUAAAAAUAAUGAAACGUGAUGACAUUGAAUCAACGUAGAAAAUUGUCAUUAACGUAAGGGAACUUAGCAUUUUUUUCACACAACUUUGAACUUUUAAUCGUGGCAUGGUGAAAUGUUUUGUUGAUUUCACAU